AGGCUCUGGCAGUCUUUUUUCCUGCAGAGUCUGCCUUCUUAUGGAGAAUGGUCUGGGCAUAUUUCACAGAUUGCUCGACUUCCAUCUCCUGCACCAGAACCUAGAGGGGAUCUUUCUUGAUUCUGUACCCUGAGAACUUGUGGGGCUCUAGAAGUAAAAUGCAUUAAAGUAUAGGGUCUACCCUAAGAUUGCAGCCCUGGAAACUCUGCAUUCUCAAAGCAGUACACACUCAGCUUCCAGCAGUUCUUCCAAAUGCCCAUUUGAGUGUUUCCACUGUUCAUGGCUCCAGCAGCUUCUGCUCCAGAGAUUUGACUUGAGGAAGACAGGAUGGAGGUUCCACAUGGUGACUGCCAGGUUUCAUGAAACAGGUGACAUAAUUAUCUAUGUGGAAAACCACAAGGAAUCUAGAAAAAUACUCCUACAAACUAGUAAGUGAGUUCAGCAAGGUUUCAGGAUACAAGUUCUAGGCUUGCACAACACCACACACUUUGAAGAACACAAAAAAACUCACUAAUCAUGAGCCCACGAUCUGAGAUGAUAAGCGGAGGCAGCUGUGGCUCUAGAGGGUCAGCUUUCUACAUUCACAAGGAUGUACCAGAGCUAUGGAAGAAGAUCCAGAGAUUAGUAAUCCUGGUGAGAGGCUGAGUUUCAAAACAGUUUAUAUACUAGUGUUUUGAGCAGAUUUCAAUAAAAGUGGAUUCUGCUGCUAACAUUACACAAAGAACCAGUUUGAGAACACUGAAUUUACACCACGUAUUGGCUGAUGUGAAACACUCCAACUGUGCUAAGAUGGCCCUACAAAGUUAACAAGGCUUUCAAAAGUCUGGUAGCUGUGAAUAUAAAGGAAUGCUUAAAACUUU